AGAUCUCGAAGCAACCGUUGCGCGGUCUAAUGGUGGAUUAAUGUGAAGGAAGGCGAAUCCUUUCACACGAAGAAUACGACCCUGAGCCCUCUUGCAGGAUCAUGCUUCGUACAGAUCUCAAAGCACACAGAAUCUUUCUAUUCAUCUACAUGCAUAGAUCUCGAAGAAACCAUUGCGUGAUCUAAUGGUGGAUUGAUGCGAAGGAAGACGAAUCCUUCUUUCGCGCAAGAGAUACAACCCUAACCCCUCUUGCAAUUGGGUGAUCUCGAAGCAACCAUUGCGCGAUCCAAUAUAUGGUGGAUUGAUGCGAAGAAAGGCAAAUCCUUCUUUUGCACAAAAGAUACGACCCUGACCCAUUUGCAGUUGGGCGGUAUGUGUUGUAUCUUGUUACCAACACACGAAUUCCUCGUUCCUUUAGGAGUAAUGAAGAACUGGAUUGAUGAAAUGGGUGCAACAUAACACGCCAUCCAGAUGCUGGACAAUCAUAAAUAUCCAUAGUUUAUGCAUAUGUGAUGUUUGCUAUGAUUCAUCUUUGCCUUCAUGGAGUCUUCUACUUUUCUUCCUCACGCUAUAACUCUUUGGUUAAAAUCUGCAAUUCAAAUUAUCUUUCCCACUGUUCAGAAGACAUUCAUAUAUAGUUCGAAUGAAGAUCAGAGGAGCAACAGGGAAUUCAACAAAAUUUCCUUGAGAAGCCAAUGGGCUUGUGCACUGGCUAA